rnacentral:rRNA from 1 species
UGGGGAAUUUUGGACAAUGGGCGAAAGCCUGAUCCAGCCAUGCCGCGUGAGUGAAGAAGGCCUUCGGGUUGUAAAGCUCUUUUAGUCGGAAAGAAAGAGUUGCAAUGAAUAAUUGUGAUUUAUGACGGUAUCGACAGAAAAAGCACCGGCUAACUACGUGCCAGCAGCCGCGGUAAUACGUAGGGUGCGAGCGUUAAUCGGAAUUACUGGGCGUAAAGGGUGCGCAGGCGGUCUUGCAAGUCAGAUGUGAAAGCCCCGGGCUUAACCUGGGAAUUGCGUUUGAAACUGCAAGACUAGAGUGCAGCAGAGGGGAGUGGAAUUCCAUGUGUAGCAGUGAAAUGCGUAGAGAUGUGGAAGAACACCGAUGGCGAAGGCAGCUCCCUGGGUUGACACUGACGCUCAUGCACGAAAGCGUGGGGAGCAAACA